ACGCACGCUGGCGGCGUGCUUAACCCAUGCAAGUCGAACGGAAAGGCCUCUUUCGGGGGGUACUCGAGUGGCGAACGGGUGAGUAACACGUGAGUAACCUGCCCUUGACUUUGGGAUAACUUCAGGAAACUGGGGCUAAUACCGGAUAGGAGCUCCUGCUGCAUGGUGGGGGUUGGAAAGUUUCGGCGGUUGGGGAUGGACUCGCGGCUUAUCAGCUUGUUGGUGGGGUAGUGGCUUACCAAGGCUUUGACGGGUAGCCGGCCUGAGAGGGUGACCGGCCACAUUGGGACUGAGAUACGGCCCAGACUCCUACGGGAGGCAGCAGUGGGGAAUAUUGCACAAUGGGUGGAAGCCUGAUGCAGCAACGCCGUGUGCGGGAUGACGGCCUUCGGGUUGUAAACCGCUUUCGCUCAUGACGAAGCUUUGUGUGACGGUAGUGGGUAAAGAAGCACCGGCUAACUACGUG
rnacentral:rRNA from 1 species